CGAGAUAGGUUAGUUUUUUACUCUACUGAAGAAUAAUAAUUAUAUUUAUAUAUUAUAUUGUUCCAGUAAUCGAACUAAGUACGAAAGGAAUAGUUUGGUCAGACAGUUAAUUUAGCUUUCGGUUGAAAAACCAACAUAGCAACUAUUUUAUGUCUGUUGUGAUAAUAGCUGAAAGCAUCUUAAGCUAGAAUCCAUUCUGUAUAUACAAUAUAUGAUUAUUUUUCUUUGUCUUGGUAAUUUUUUUUUUACUGUUAAUGUAAAAAGAGAACAUAUAUUAUAUUAUAAAAGCAUUUUUAUAAA